rnacentral:lncRNA from 1 species
UCGGAUCCCGCGGCGGCGGCGGCGGAAACCAAUUUUAGGAACGUUGAGUGCCAGACCCUUCCUAAAAUCCCUGGUUUGCCAAAGUCUCAACGAGAGAACGGAUACUUAGUAUUUCUAGAAGGCAUUUCCACCCCGAGGACUGCAAGUGUUCUCACGUUCUUUGCGUUCAUCAUGACCUCCAAGUGUCCCACUGGAGCUGUCAUUCCCGUAGUUCCAAAGAGAAUACUCGAGCGCGGAGCGAUUCCAUUGCAUUUCCUUCCAGUAGCCAGGUUUUGACCACUUACUGAAGAGUAGACACCAGCCCCGCGGCAGCGCUCUCUGCUGCAAAAAGCUGUCUACGGAGCAAGACGGAAGGAAACAGUUACAGAAAAUAAAAAUUUGAUAACGACAUGCGACUCGGUUGCUGAGAGGACAGAGAAAGUGACUUAUUUUUGCAUCUCAGGCACUUUGUAGAGGGCCUUUAGCACAAAGAACUCCCGGCUCUUCCAGAUGUUAAACUCCCUGAAUAGAAGGACAGCGUCUUCUUUUUCGUUAUCCAUCA